AACGAACGCUGGCGGCAUGCCUAACACAUGCAAGCCGAACGAGACCUUCGGGUCGAGGGGCGCACGGGUGCGUACCGCGUGGGAACCUGCCCUUAGGUUCGGCAUAACUCCCCGAAAGGGGUACUAAAACCGGAUUAUGUCUUCGGACCAAAGAUUUAUCGCCUUUGGAUGGGGCCGCGUUGGAUUAGCUAGUUGGUAGGGUAAAAGCAUACCAAGGCGACGAGCCAUAGCUGGUUGGAGAGGAUGAUCAGCCACACUGGGACUGAGACACGGCCCAGACUGCUACGGGAGGCAGCAGUGGGGAAUAUUGGACCAUGGGCGAAAGCCUGAUCCAGCAAUGCCGCGUGAGUGGUGAAGGCCUUAGGGUUGUAAAGCUCUUUUACCCGGGAUGAUAAUGACAGUACCGGGAGAAUAAGCUCCGGCUAACUCCGUG
rnacentral:rRNA from 1 species